CUUGCCAAUGCUUUGAGCAGUUAUACACAUGGGAUAAAAUAAUAUUGGGCCAUUGUAAAUGGAGAUGAAAUGAGUGUCAUCUCUCCUACGCAGUCUAGACAUUG
ensembl:snoRNA